UGUUGUUAUGACAAAAAAGGCAAUUAUUAAAACUAAUUUCAAUCACCUACACUAUCUCCUUGUAUUUUAUGUGUGUGUGUGUGACUCAACAGUGUGUUUGUUACUAGGUGGAUGUCCUGGGAAUCUGCCCAACCAGGUAUCAGCAAAAGGGUCCCAUUCUUGUAAAGACAAGGGACUUAAACCUCUGCUCCCAUCGCUCUUCUGGUUUGACUUCUGUGCAGUCUGUUGUUCUUCCUCAUGUGUCAUCUGAGCAGCAGAUUGUGUCCUCCCAGCUGGAGUGUGUGCAGAGCAUCAGGGACGGGGUGCUGGAGGAGGCCGAGUGCAGCGAGUGGGAGCGCGUGCGGCUGCUCCCUCAGCAGGGCAGCGGGGCACAGACACAGACCCGCUCUGCGCUCACACUCCUGCACGUGGAAACAGACUCACUCUACAGUAACGGGGGCUCUGAGGAUCUGUAUGUGACUGACAUUCUCUAUGAAAGGGAGGUAACUAAGAGGGAGGUCACUGGAGCAGAAGUGACUGAACUGGUGUGGAAGCUUUGCUUAGCACACAGUGCAAGUUAUGAGGUAAGCUGUACAGCCUCUGCUUCCUUGGGAG
rnacentral:lncRNA from 1 species